rnacentral:rRNA from 1 species
UACGGAGGAUCCAAGCGUUAUCCGGAUUUAUUGGGUUUAAAGGGUGCGUAGGCGGCUUAUUAAGUCAGUGGUGAAAGACUUCAGCUUAACUGAAGAACUGCCAUUGAUACUGAUGAGCUUGAAUAUAGUUGAGGUUGGCGGAAUGUGUCAUGUAGCGGUGAAAUGCUUAGAUAUGACACAGAACACCGAUUGCGAAGGCAGCUAGCCAAACUAUGAUUGACGCUGAUGCACGAAAGCGUGGGGAGCAAACAGG